rnacentral:rRNA from 1 species
GAUGAACGCUGGCGGCGUGCCUAAUACAUGCAAGUCGAGCGAACAGACGAGGAACUUGCUCCUCUGACGUUAGCGGCGGACGGGUGAGUAACACGUGGAUAACCUACCUAUAAGACUGGGAUAACUUCGGGAAACCGGAGCUAAUACCGGAUAAUAUAUUGAACCGCAUGGUUCAAUAGUGAAAGACGGUUUUGCUGUCACUUAUAGAUGGAUCCGCGCCGCAUUAGCUAGUUGGUAAGGUAACGGCUUACCAAGGCAACGAUGCGUAGCCGACCUGAGAGGGUGACAGGCCACACUGGAACUGAGACACGGUCCAGACUCCUACGGGAGGCAGCAGUAGGGAAUCUUCCGCAAUGGGCGAAAGCCUGACGGAGCAACGCCGCGUGAGUGAUGAAGGUCUUCGGAUCGUAAAACUCUGUUAUUAGGGAAGAACAAAUGUGUAAGUAACUAUGCACGUCUUGACGGUACCUAAUCAGAAAGCCACGGCUAACUACGUG